GGGGAUGUUCUGGAUUCGUCACGGCAUGAAUACAACUAUAAGCAUGUCUUGGUUGCUCAAGUAAAAAAGCCGAGGUUUUUAAUAACCGGAAAUCAAAAUUUACAAUUCGCUGCCUAAGAAAAGGUAAGCACCUAUUUUGAGGAGGCUUGUGACUCAAAUGUGGUAUAAGAAAGCAAGAUAUAUUUACUGAGUGCCUAUAUUGGUAGAUGAAAACUUAUAGGAUAGUUUAUACAACUUUUGUUUAUUUAGUUUUAUAAAUGAAUUCAUAAAUGAACUAAACAUGUAGAAAGUAUUUGUUGCAGUGUCUUGCACAGGGGUUCAAUUCCCCUCAUCUCCACCA
rnacentral:tmRNA from 1 species